rnacentral:rRNA from 2 species
GGAGGAAAGUAGGGGAUCGAAAGACCUUAUGCUUUUGGAGCGGCCGAUGUCUGAUUAGCUAGUUGGUGGGGUAAUUGCCUACCAAGGCGACGAUCAGUAGUUGGUCUGAGAGGACGACCAGCCACACUGGGACUGAGACACGGCCCAGACUCCUACGGGAGGCAGCAGUGGGGAAUUUUGGACAAUGGGCGCAAGCCUGAUCCAGCAAUGCCGCGUGAGUGAAGAAGGCCUUCGGGUUGUAAAGCUCUUUCAGUUGAGAAGAAAAGAUUGUAACUAAUAAUUACAGUUCAUGACGGUAUCAACAGAAGAAGCACCGGCUAACUACGUGCCAGCAGCCGCGGUAAUACGUAGGGUGCAAGCGUUAAUCGGAAUUACUGGGCGUAAAGGGUGCGCAGGCGGUUCUGUAAGUCAGAUGUGAAAUCCCCGGGCUUAACCUGGGAACUGCGUUUGAAACUACAAGGCUAGA